UUUACAGAUUGACUUUGCAGAUCAACGGAAUAACAACUUCGCGGUUGCGCAUUGUGAAUAUCAAAUGUAUCCGUGCGAUGAUAUCUAUGCGUAUUAUCUUUGUUCUUAUGUAAGUAAGCUUCGAGAAUACUUAUAUCGUACGUAUUUACGUACCGUAUAAAAUGUUGCACGAUAAUAAUCAACAGGAUUUUUGCAAGUAAAUUACAUUUCCAUACUGAGAGGAGGAUGAGGCGUAGGACGGGCAUCGGACAUCGAUGGAGCAACUUUAAGAUAACAACAAUAAAGUACGCGUCGAAAGUGCCGCAUAAAAUAUCGUGACAUAAUAAUUAAUCAAAUUUUCGUGACUGAAUCGUGUUAUACUGAAAGAAGGAGCAGGCUCAAGAUGGGCAUCGGGCAUCGGUAGAUAAAC